rfam:Pseudomonas putida S11 PPS11_c12, whole genome shotgun sequence.
UCGUCCACCUGCUGCGGGCAGAUGAAGUGGAUGUGCGAGUCGACACCACCGGCGGUGACGAUCUUGCCCUCGGCCGCGAUCACCUCGGUGCCGGGGCCCACUGGCACGUUCACGCCCGGCUGCACAUCGGGGUUGCCAGCCUUGCCGAUCACCGCGAUACGCCCGUGCUUGAUACCGAUAUCGGCCUUGACGAUGCCCCAGUGGUCGAUGAUCAGGGCAUUGGUCAGUACCAGGUCCAUGGCUUCGGCAGCCAGCAUCUGGCCCUGCCCCAUGCCAUCGCGG